rnacentral:rRNA from 1 species
AGAAUCAACGCUGGCGGCGUGCCUAACACAUGCAAGUCGCACGAGAAAGGGACUUCGGGUCCUGAGUAAAGUGGCGCACGGGUGAGUAACACGUGAAUCAUCUACCUCCGAGUGGGGAAUAACCUAGAGAAAUCUGGGCUAAUACCGCAUAACACUUACGAGUCAAAGGCAGCAAUGCGCUUGGAGAGGAGUUCGCGGCAGAUUAGUUAGUUGGCGGGGUAAUGGCCCACCAAGACGAUGAUCUGUA